GUGUAGAUCUGAAGAAAAACCCUCAGUGCGCUCUGCCUCUCUCACAAUCUCUGUAGCCCUCUGUUAACAGAGACAUGAACAAGUGUCUUGAGACCGGCCAAUCCUCCCCAAGGAAACUUUAAGAGACGAGAGAAAAGGGGAGAAGCCCUUGGCUCCCAGGAAGGAAAGUGAACUGAGAGUUUCCAAGCACAAGAAGCAUACAUGUUCUAAAAGGAGGUUUGAGCCUGACCAAAACAAGAGACUCAUGAAGAAGCAGAAAAGUUUGGAAUCAAAGUUAGCAGAUCUUAAGAAAGAAAUGAACCACGAGGAAUUGCAGGAAUACCAAGAAAAGCUGGGACAAUUGGAACAGAACCUUGCAGAGAUUAGAAUGGAUAUUUCUCGGGCAAAAGCAAUAAAUGAUAAGAGCCAGAUUUACUUGAAUUCUAUAAUUGCUCGUUUGUUCCCUUGAACUGAAGGUGAUUUAUUGGCGAGUUUCAUUUUUCUCAGGGCAAACCAGAAAAGGAGUUAAUUGAAGAAUAAAAAACCUUGGGCUAAAAUUUAAGGCAAAGCAGCAAUUUCUUCUAUCUUUAAUUGCUCUCCGUAUAUCAAACUUUUAUAGUCCCUUCCUUGUUUCUUUUCCCUCAGGAGAUGGAGGCAAGAGCGGUGGGGAGCCAGCUCAAGGACUACCUGAAUUAGGACCUUGUUGGUGCUAGUUU